GAUGAACGCUGGCGGCGUGCCUAAUACAUGCAAGUCGAGCGAAGCGGGGACGGGUGAGUAACACGUGGGUAACCUCCUAUAAGACUGGGAUAACUUCGGGAAACCGGAGCUAAACCGGAUACUUAUCGAUGGAGCCGCGCUGCAUUAGCUAGUUGGUAAGGUAACGGCUUACCAAGGCGACGAUGCCUAGCCGACCUGAGAGGGUGAUCGGCCACACUGGAACUGAGACACGGUCCAGACUCCUACGGGAGGCAGCAGUAGGGAAUCUUCCGCAAUGGGCGAAAGCCUGACGGAGCAACGCCGCGUGUGUGAAGAAGGCCUUCGGAUCAUAAAACUCUGUUAUCAGGGAAGCGGUACCUAAUGAGAAAGCCACGGCUAACUACGUGCCAGCCGCCGCGGUAAUAC
rnacentral:rRNA from 1 species